rnacentral:rRNA from 1 species
GACGAACGCUGGCGGCGUGCUUAACACAUGCAAGUCGAACGGGAUGAUUUAGAAGCUUGCUUUUAGGGAAUCUAGUGGCAAACGGGUGAGUAACACGUAGACAACCUGCCGACAGGAUGGGGACAACAUUCCGAAAGGAAUGCUAAUACCGAAUGAAGUCAGAGAAGGGCAUCCUUUUCUGAUGAAAGAUGGCCUCUGAAUAUGCUAUCACCUGUCGAUGGGUCUGCGUCUGAUUAGCUGGUUGGUGAGGUAACGGCUCACCAAGGCGACGAUCAGUAGCCGGUCUGAGAGGAUGAACGGCCACAUUGGGACUGAGACACGGCCCAGACUCCUACGGGAGGCAGCAGUGGGGAAUCUUCCGCAAUGGGCGCAAGCCUGACGGAGCAACGCCGCGUGAGUGAAGAAGGUCUUCGGAUCGUAAAGCUCUGUUGAUGGGGACGAACGUGCGAAGGGUGAAUAAUCCUUUGCAAUGACG